GAUGAAGAACGUAGCGAAAUGCGAUACGUAAUGUGAAUUGCAAAUUCAGUAAAUCAUCGAGUCUUUGAACGCACAUUGCGCCCCCUGGUAUUCCGGGGGGCAUGCCUGUCCGAGCGUCAUUGCUGCCCUCAAGCACGGCUUGUGUGUUGGGCCCCGUCCUCCGAUCCCGGGGGACGGGCCCGAAAGGCAGCGGCGGCACCGCGUCCGGUCCUCGAGCGUAUGGGGCUUUGUCACCCGCUCUGUAGGCCCGGCCGGCGCUUGCCGAUCAACCCAAAUUUUUAUCCAGGUUGACCUCGGAUCAGGUAGGGAUACCCGCUGAACUUAAGCAUAUCAAUAAGCGGAGGA
rnacentral:misc_RNA from 1 species